CAACUCUUGCCCCUGGAAAGUUUAUACCAAAAUUGGAACGUGUGAGACAAUCCAGCCAAGUCAACUAUGUCGUCCGAUGUCGAUACACUCAUGGAAAUGGGAUUUUCCAGGAACAAAGCGCAAAGGGCCUUGGCAAAAACCAAUUAUAAGGGAGUUCAGUUAGCUAUGGAUUGGUUGUUUGCCCAUGAUGGAGAUGCAGACAUUGAUGAACCUUUCGAAGCUCCCAAGGGAAAUGUUCUUGGUAAAACAGAAGAUCUCCCUGCCCCUCCCACAACUGCAGGGGGAGAGGGGCCGGACGCCCCAGGUGAAGAAAACAUGCAAGCCAGGUCACUCAAGUGUGAUGAGUGUGGCAAGUUGCUGAGGUCAGAGAUGGACGCUCAGGCCCAUGCAGCUCGCACACAACAUGCCAGCUUCUCUGAGAGCACAGAAGAGAUUAAACCCCUCACAGACGAGGAGAAGAAACAAAAGCUUCAAGAUCUACAGGACCGGUUGAAGCAGCGGCGGAUGGCGAAGGAUGAGGAGGAGAAGAAGGAGCAGAUCGCCCGGGAGAAGGCCCGGCGCACCACAAACAAGGAACUAGGCAUGGCCAAGCAGAAAAUUGAGGAGGAGGAGAUAAAGAAGAUAGCGGAGCAUAGAAGGCGGGAGAAGAUGGAGGAGAGGCAGGCCAGAGAGCGUGUGAGAGAGCAGAUAGCGAAGGACAAGGCUGACAGAGCUGCUAAGUUUGGCAAGACCAGCCAGCAUUCCCCCCCAUCAGCAGCCUGCCCCCCUGCUUCCACCCAGACAACAGGAGCAGCAGCAGCCCCCAAGGAGUACGACACCUGCCGACUACAGAUCCGGUUGACCAAUGGCCAAGUACUGACCCAAAGCUUCAAGGCUAAGGAACCUCUGGCAGCAGUGCGUCUGUACAUCGAGAUGAACCGGUCCGAUGGCACCGGACCCUUCUCUCUCCUGACAUCAUUCCCCCGUAAAGUCUUCUCCAGUGAAGACAUGGAGAAACCACUAGACACAUUAGGCUUAGUUCCAUCAGCUGUUUUGAUCGUGUCAAAGCCUCAGUGAUAAGGUUGUCAUCAAGCAAGCAUUCAUGUGGAUAGCAGAGCAAUGGUUUUAGUGUUACAUGUCAACAAGGCAUCUUUGGAACAUCAUUUUCCAGUUCCAAUUGUGAGGCAGGAUACAAAGUGUGUGCUCAAGAUGUUUCUCAGGAGAGACUGGUUUGUGGACUACAACACAGAGGAGGCGAAAUCAGGCUGACUCCCACAGUUGUGUUACACAAGUUACUGAAUAUCUCAAUCGAAUUGGAUAUCUUACAGUGUAGUGUUAUACAUUCUAAGAUCUUUAUAGUUUUAUGCCUUUGACACUGUAUACAGGAAAGUAACUUCUUAAGGUUUUUUGUGUCCAUCUUGUCAAGAUGUUUUAUUCAUCACUGUGAAAGGCAAACAAGGAAAAAGGAAGGCUAGUUAUUCUUCUCACAACAUCAUGUCCAUGAUGGUGGUAAUGUAUCAACUCAAACUAAUACUGUUUCUAGGAUCUCAGAUACACCACCAAUUCCAUUUUUAGAAAGGUUUUUGAAACAAAUCAAUCUGGCUUUUUCUGCUGGCUUGAUAAGCAUGAAUGGCCACGUAGUGUUGAUCUGUAACUCACAAGGAAGUGAAUGUUUUGUGCCGUAGUCAGGAAUAUUCCAGCUAUAUAAUGGCAGCCUAUAAAUAAUCAGCUCAGAUACAGCUGAACAAACGGGAGAGUGCGUGAUUGACAAUCCAUGGCGCUGGCCGGGGUGUACAGUGUGUCUUCAUUGCGACUGCAUGAUCCUCAUCUACACUGGCUCCUACAACAAGCAUGGAGCCACUGGAGACUGAGGUCAUGUUCUCUUGAGGAAUCCCCACAGUCGGUACCUUAUGAAAAUGAAGUAGGUGAUCUCUGAAGGAGCUUGCUUUGUGUGUUUGCAUUAUUUCUUGUCCAUUAAGUCAUAACAAAUUAUAUGGUCAAUGACCAUUACAGUUCUGCUGGUGUGUUUUCCACCAUCUCUGUGUAAAAUAUUAUUGCCAGUUUAGUGUUUGUCAAAGUGUUUUUAAUUUUGCUUCCUGUGAGAUUUCUCAUUUAAUGGACUGGGUGAGUUGGCCAGGUUUUGAGUGCCAUCACACCCUGACAGCAUGGAUCAUAAUGUCAUCCACUGGGUUGUCUUGUCCUGACUUGACUAUUUAAAGGUUGUCUUGUCGGACUUGACUAUUUAAAGGUUGUCUUGUCGGACUUGACUAAUUAUAGGUUGUCUUGUCUGGACUUGACUAUUUAAAGGUUGUCUUGUCCAGACUUGACUAUUUAAAGGUUGUCUUGUCCGGACUUGACUAUUUAAAGGUUGUCUUGUUGGACUUGACUAUUUAAAGGUUGUCCUGUCGGACUUGACUAUAUAAAGGUAGUCUUGUCCUGACUUGUCUAUUCAAAGGUAGUCUUGUCCAGACUUGUCUAUUUAAAGGUUGUCUUGUCCAGACUUGUCUAUUUAAAGGUUGUCUUGUCCAGACUUGACUAUAUAAAGGUAGUCUUGUCCAGACUUGUCUAUUCAAAGGUAGUCUUGUCCUGACUUGACUAUUUUAAGGUUGUCUUGUCGGACUUGUCUAUUUAAAGGUUGUCUUGUCGGACUUGUCUAUUUAAAGGUUGUCUUGUCGGACUUGACUAUUUAAAGGUUGUCUUGUCCAGACUUGACUAUUUAAAGGUUGUCUUGUCCAGACUUGUCUAUUCAAAGGUUGUCUUGUCCGGACUUGACUAUCUAAAGGUUGUCUUCAUACAGCUGGGAAAUUGCUGAGUGCUGCAUUAAACUACGAACAAACAUAUUUUAUCUUUUCAUUGUUAUCAACAUGCUCCAAAUUUGAAGUGUGAAAGUUUGUAAGAUCUAGUAGGUGUCUCCCAAAGUAAUUUGAUGUACUAGUUGGAAUUAGUUCAUGGUGUCAGUUGUGGGUUUGAAUCCCUUGGUCUAUGGGUGGGUGUCUUAUGUUUACCCUGGUGCAACUAAUUGCUCCCUGACAAUAUUAUCCAUAGGUGUGAUGUUCUCAUUGUGAAAGGACAUCUGAACUAGUCAGGUUCGAUUUAAGGAUCUUGAUUUACCUUGCUCCAGGUGCAUGUUUACGUGAAAGUCAAGUUGCACCAGACAAAACUAGGUUGCACCCUGGACCCAUAAGUUUUUCAAAGUUGAAACAAGGGCCGCUCUGCUGCCUGUGUCACAUUAAUUAAUGACAUAUUGCUGUCAAAUGUACAUGACACACAUUACACAUAACACAGAGAUUAAUGAAGUAGUAUGGUAAAUGAACCUUAGAGGCAGUGGGGGGGGACACAGGUCCCUGACUUGUUUUUGUUCUGUAUACAGACUAUGUCAGCAUGCUGUCAUUGUGAUGUCAUGGUGAGAAUGUCUCACCUCACAAAGGAGAUACCCGUUGUUUUGUUUCAUAUGGAUUUCAUUAUGUCUUUGGACAGUAUCAGAAACCACCAUUGUUAAGAUGAUCAAAAUGUGCACAGUACUUGUGAUCUUGUUUAUAUCAAUUUUAAUACAACUAAAUCAAAAUUAAGACACCAAAAUAUCCACGCAUCAUAAAGAUUUUUAAAAAUAAGACAAUAUAGCAUGAUAUAGUGUUAGGAUAACAUGAAUUUUGUUAUGUAGAGGCCAUUGUGCUGUACAGUGUACAGCAUUGUACAGAUGGUGUGAAUUUCCAUACACAUCAUAUAUGUAACAAAUGUUAUAUAUAACUCUCUUAGUAUGGCAAUUCACACACAUGUUCUGGCAUUGUGUGUUCAUGUUUGUUAGCAGAGCCUAUGUACAUAGAUGUGUUUGAUUCUGACAUACCAGGGUUUUGUUGAGAUGAAGAUAACAAUGAUAGUAACGUGAGCCCAGAGUUGGGAUGGACUUUACAGAAAUCUACCAGGUAACAAAUAUUUUGCAAACAAGGUUAAUAUGAUUUUAAAGGACCAUUCUGUGAAACCCAAGUACAUUUUUAAGAAAUAAUAAGAAUCUUGGGAAAAAACAUCACCAUGGUUACCGGAAUAUUGGCAGAAUCACAUGAUAAAAUCAUGUGUUUACCCUAAUAAUAUCACAUUAAAUCUCCUGUUGAUAUGCGGAGAUUCAGCAGCAUUGAAUAGGUUAGCCAGUGAUGACAUGAAUGAAUCAUGCAUUAAUCUGUUCUGGUAAUGUUCCUUGUAAAUAUGACUUACAGUACAUAUCUUAUCUUCAGACAAACUAUUCCACCACCAUUGAUUAUUGGCACAACAGUGAUAACAGCAGGUGUCUAUAGGCCAUCAACAAGAACUCUCUACUAACAAGGGAGUAGUCUGUCACUUCUGUCCAGGAAAUAGGAAAUUACAAAACAAAAUAUCACCUUCCUGCAGCAAGGGAGAUAACUGACUACAAAAGUCCAGUUUCAUCUCUUGCUGAACUAGGCUGGAGUUAUGGAGUUAUGUUUAUGCUGGACUAACGAGUCUAUGCAUAGUCCAGCCACAAUCUCAAAACGUAAUCAACAUCCGGUUCGUAAACUGCCAUGUAGAUUUCAGUUGAUUUCAUGAUUUGCAGAGCAUGUGUACCGUCAACAGUGCGUCCACAGAUAUUUUCGAAAUCUUUUCAUGGUUGUAAUCAAGGUGCUCAAGUGAUUUGAUGCACUAUGUGAAGUAAGACCCAUUUUAUUACAAUAUAGACUUGAUAAUUAAUCAAAUCGUCUUGACUGCGUGCCGCCAUUUUGUUUGAAGCAAAUGCAAGUAAUAUGAGAGGGGGAAUCUGAUCAGUCAGUAGAAGGGACUACAAUGGAGCCCAUAAAUUCCAGUCUAGUUCAGCAAGGUUGGAAACUGGACUUUUACAGUCAGUUAACUCACUUGCCUCGAGAAGAUGCAAAAUAUAGAAAAUGAAUUUUAUAAACAAUAUACAGUCAAGUCUCGUUAA
rnacentral:misc_RNA from 1 species